AACGAACGCUGGCGGCAGGCUUAACACAUGCAAGUCGAACGCCCCGCAAGGGGAGUGGCAGACAGGUGAGUAACGCGUGGGAACAUACCCUUUCCUGCGGAAUAGCUCCGGGAAACUGGAAUUAAUACCGCAUACGCCCUACGGGGGAAAGAUUUAUCGGGGAAGGAUUGGCCCGCGUUGGAUUAGCUAGUUGGUGGGGUAAAGGCCUACCAAGGCGACGAUCCAUAGCUGGUCUGAGAGGAUGAUCAGCCACAUUGGGACUGAGACACGGCCCAAACUCCUACGGGAGGCAGCAGUGGGGAAUAUUGGACAAUGGGCGCAAGCCUGAUCCAGCCAUGCCGCGUGAGUGAUGAAGGCCUUAGGGUUGUAAAGCUCUUUCACCGGAGAAGAUAAUGACGGUAUCCGGAGAAGAAGCCCCGGCUAACUUCGUGCCAGCCGCCGCGGUAAUAC
rnacentral:rRNA from 1 species